rnacentral:rRNA from 1 species
AAAAUUGCCCAUACCUGUUUGUCAACGUCUGAUCCCGGCUGGUCUCAGAAGCUAAGCAGGACUGGGCCUGGUUAGUACUAGGGAGACCACUGGGAAUAUCAGGUGCCAC